GACGAACGCUGGCGGCGUGCUUAACACAUGCAAGUCGAACGGAAAGGCCCUGCUUUUGUGGGGUGCUCGAGUGGCGAACGGGUGAGUAACACGUGAGUAACCUGCCCUUGACUUUGGGAUAACUUCAGGAAACUGGGGCUAAUACCGGAUAGGAGCUCCUGCUGCAUGGUGGGGGUUGGAAAGUUUCGGCGGUUGGGGAUGGACUCGCGGCUUAUCAGCUUGUUGGUGGGGUAGUGGCUUACCAAGGCUUUGACGGGUAGCCGGCCUGAAAGGGUGACCGGCAACAUUGGGACUGAGAUACGGCCCAGACUCCUACGGGAGGCAGCAGUGGGGAAUAUUGCACAAUGGGCGGAAGCCUGAUGCAGCAACGCCGCGUGCGGGAUGACGGCCUUCGGGUUGUAAACCGCUUUCGCCUGUGACGAAGAGUGAGUGACGGUAAUGGGUAAAGAAGCACCGGCUAACUACGUG
rnacentral:rRNA from 1 species